AUUGAACGCUGGCGGCAGGCCUAACACAUGCAAGUCGAGCGGUAGAGAGGUGCUUGCAUCUCUUGAGAGCGGCGGACGGGUGAGUAAUGCCUAGGAAUCUGCCUGGUGGUGGGGGAUAAACGUUCGGAAACGGACGCUAAUACCGCAUACGUCCUACGGGAGAAAGCGGGGGAUCUUCGGACCUCGCGCCAUUAGAUGAGCCUAGGUCGGAUUAGCUAGUUGGUGAGGUAAUGGCUCACCAAGGCGACGAUCCGUAACUGGUCUGAGAGGAUGAUCAGUCACACUGGAACUGAGACACGGUCCAGACUCCUACGGGAGGCAGCAGUGGGGAAUAUUGGACAAUGGGCGAAAGCCUGAUCCAGCCAUGCCGCGUGUGUGAAGAAGGUCUUCGGAUUGUAAAGCACUUUAAGUUGGG
rnacentral:rRNA from 1 species